rnacentral:rRNA from 1 species
CCUAACACAUGCAAGUCGAACGGUAACAGGAAGAAGCUUGCUUCUUUGCUGACGAGUGGCGGACGGGUGAGUAAUGUCUGGGAAACUACCUGAUGGAGGGGGAUAACUACUGGAAACGGUAGCUAAUACCGCAUAACGUCGCAAGACCAAAGAGGGGGACCUUCGGGCCUCUUGCCAUCGGAUGUGCCCAGAUGGGAUUAGCUAGUAGGUGGGGUAACGGCUCACCUAGGCGACGAUCCCUAGCUGGUCUGAGAGGAUGACCAGCCACACUGGAACUGAGACACGGUCCAGACUCCUACGGGAGGCAGCAGUGGGGAAUAUUGCACAAUGGGCGCAAGCCUGAUGCAGCCAUGCCGCGUGUAUGAAGAAGGCCUUCGGGUUGUAAAGUACUUUCAGCGGGGAGGAAGGGAGUAAAGUUAAUACCUUUGCUCAUUGACGUUACCCGCAGAAGAAGCACCGGCUAACUCCGUGCCAGCAGCCGCGGUCAUACGGAGGGCGCAAGCGUUAAUCGGAAUUACUGGGCGUAAAGCGCACGCAGGCGGUUUGUUAAGUCAGAUGUGAAAUCCCCGGGCUCAACCUGGGAACUGCAUCUGAUACUGGCAAGCUUGAGUCUCGUAGAGGGGGGUAGAAUUCCAGGUGUAGCGGUGAAAUGCGUAGAGAUCUGGAGGAAUACCGGUGGCGAAGGCGGCCCCCUGGACGAAGACUGACGCUCAGGUGCGAAAGCGUGGGGAGCAAACAGGAUUAGAUACCCUGGUAGUCCACGCCGUAAACGAUGUCGACUUGGAGGUUGUGCCCUUGAGGCGUGGCUUCCGGAGCUAACGCGUUAAGUCGACCGCCUGGGGAGUACGGCCGCAAGGUUAAAACUCAAAUGAAUUGACGGGGGCCCGCACAAGCGGUGGAGCAUGUGGUUUAAUUCGAUGCAACGCGAAGAACCUUACCUGGUCUUGACAUCCACAGAACUUUUCAGAGAUGGAUUGGUGCCUUCGGGAACUGUGAGACAGGUGCUGCAUGGCUGUCGUCAGCUCGUGUUGUGAAAUGUUGGGUUAAGUCCCGCAACGAGCGCAACCCUUAUCCUUUGUUGCCAGCGGUCCGGCCGGGAACUCAAAGGAGACUGCCAGUGAUAAACUGGAGGAAGGUGGGGAUGACGUCAAGUCAUCAUGGCCCUUACGACCAGGGCUACACACGUGCUACAAUGGCGCAUACAAAGAGAAGCGACCUCGCGAGAGCAAGCGGACCUCAUAAAGUGCGUCGUAGUCCGGAUUGGAGUCUGCAACUCGGCUCCAUGAAGUCGGAAUCGCUAGUAAUCGUGGAUCAGAAUGCCACGGUGAAUACGUUCCCGGGCCUUGUACACACCGCCCGUCACACCAUGGGAGUGGGUUGCAAAAGAAGUAGGUAGCUUAACCUUCGGGAGGGCGCUUACCACUUUGUGAUUCAUGACUGGGGUGAAGUC